rnacentral:tRNA from 1 species
GCCCUGGUGGUCUAGCGGUAUGAUUCUUCCUUAGGGUUAUUGAGAGAUAUAUCCGCUUGGAAGAGGUCCCAGGUUCGAUCCCUGGCCAGGGCC